rnacentral:pre_miRNA from 1 species
AAUAAACCAAUUUUUUAUCUUUUAUCUUUAAUUUUUGACUAUUCGUCUUAUUUAAAUUUUUUUACGAUUUAUAUUUUUGUUUUUACUAGAUGAUAAAUUAUAAAUAGUACUUUAUGUAUGACUGAUUUUUUUUGAUUUUCUGAAAAUUUUUCAAAUAAGACGGAUGGUCAAUCGUUGGACACGGAAACC